rnacentral:rRNA from 1 species
UACAGAGGUCCCAAGCGUUGUUCGGAUUCAUUGGGCGUAAAGGGUCCGCAGGUGGGAUGGUCAGUCCGAUGUGACAGUACCCGGCUUAACUGGGUGAGGCCAUUGGAAACUGCCAUUCUUGAGUCACGGAGAGGGAAGCGGAAUUCCGGGUGUAGUGGUGGAAUGCGUAGAGAUCCGGAGGAACUCCAAAGGCGCAAGCAGCUUCCUGGCCGAGGACUGACACUGAGGGACGAAAGCGUGGGGAGCAAACAGG